rnacentral:rRNA from 1 species
GACGAACGCUGGCGGCGUGCCUAACACAUGCAAGUCGAACGGAAAGGCCCUGCUUUUGCGGGUUGCUCGAGUGGCGAACGGGUGAGUAAAACGUGAGUAACCCGUACUUGUAUUUGGGAUAAAUUCACGUAAAAGCGGCUAAUACCGCGUAUGAGCUCUUGAUGCAUGGGGGGGGUUGGUAAGAUUCGGCGGUUUGGGAUGGUCUGGAGGGUUAUCAGCUUGUUGGUGUGGUAGUGGCUUACAAGGGCUUUGACGGGUAGCCGGCCUGAGAGGGUGACCGGCGUCAUUGGGCCUGAGAGAGGGCCCAGACGGCUACGGGCGGCAGCGGUGGGGAGCCUUACACAGUGACGGGAAGCCUGAUGUAGCGGCGCCGCGAGCGUGAUGACGUCCUUCGAGUUAUGAACCGCUUUCUCCUUUGAUAUGGCGUGAGUGACGGUAAUGAAUAAGGAAGCAACGGCUAACUACGUG